rnacentral:tRNA from 1 species
GGAGAGAUGGCAGAGUGGUCGAAUGCGCGCGCCUCGAAAGCGUGUAACCCGAAAGGGUUCGGAGGUUCGAAUCCUCCUCUCUCCGCCA